rnacentral:rRNA from 1 species
UACGUAGGGUGCAAGCGUUAAUCGGAAUUACUGGGCGUAAAGGGCGCGCAGGUGGUGUGCUAAAGUCUGCCCGUGAAAUCUCCCGGCUCAACUGGGAGGCUGCGGUGGAGACUGGCACGCUUGAGGUACCUAGAGGUCGGUGGAAUUCCCGGUGUAGUGGUGAAAUGCGUAGAAGAUCGGGAGGAACACCAGUGGCGAAGGCGGCCGG